rnacentral:rRNA from 1 species
CAGGUAGGCGGCUGUGCAGGUCCGUGGUGAAAUCCCUCGGCUUAACCGAGGAAUUGCCUUGGAAACCACACGGCUGGAGUGGAGGAGAGGAGACUGGAACUCUAGGUGGAGCGGUGAAAUGCGUAGAUAUCUAGAGGAACGCCGGUGGCGAAAGCGGGUCUCUGGCCUCUAACUGACGCUGAGCUGCGAAAGCCAGGGGAGCGAACG